UUCAGGCCAAAUAGUUCAAUCUUGGUUUCAUCAGACCAGAAAAUCUUGUGGUCUGAGAAUCCUUUAGCUGCCUUUUGGCAAACUCCAAGCGAGCUGCCAAGCGGACUACAGGUGCCUUUUACUGAUGAGUGGCUUCCGUCUGGCCAAUCUACCAUGAAGACCUGAUUGGUGGAGUCCUGCAGAGAUGGUUGUCUUCUGGAAGGUUCUACCACCUCCACAGAGGAACACUUGAGCUCUGUCAGAGUGAUCAUCAGGUUCUUGGUCGCCUCCCUGACCAAGGCCCUUCUCCCUCGAUUGCUCAGUUUGGCCAGGUGGCCAGCUCAAGGAAGAGUCUUGGUGGUUCCAGAUGUCUUCCAUUUAAGAAUGAUGGAGGCCACUGUGUUCUUGGGGACCUUCAAUGCUGCAGAAAUGUACCCUUCCCCAGAUCUGUGCCUCGACACAAUCUUGUCUAGGAGCUCUACGGACAAUUCCUUCAACCUCAUGGCUUGGUUUUUGCUCUGACAUGCACUGUCAACUGUCGGACCUUAUAUAGACAGGUGUGUUCCUUUCCAAAUCAUGUCCAAUCAAUUUAAUUUACCACAGGUGGACUCCAAUCAAGUUGUAGAAACAGCUCAAGGAUGAUCAAUGGAAACAGGAUGCACCUGAGCUCAAUUUCGAGUCUCAUAGCAAAGGGUCUGAAUACUAAAAAUCUGUUUUAGUUUUGCCAUUAUUCGGGUAUUGUGUGUAGAUUUAUGAGGAAAAAACAUGUAUUUAAUCAAUUUUAGAAUAAGGUUGUAAUGUAACAAAAUGUCGAAAAAGUCCAGGGCUUAAUACUUUCCAAAUGCUCUGUAUUUUGGGUUCUGAUGGGGUACGACAGUUGAACUAAACUCAUGAGGAAUUUAUAAGUUAUAUUCUUCAAGAAUCAUUGGGUACAUAUAAUCAAUUUAUACGUCCAAAGAUCGAUGUAGCAACUGCUGAUUGCCCCUUUAAGCUGAGAUGAAAAAGUUAACCGUUAAUGCAGAUUGGAUUUUGUUUGAUUUUAUCGAUAAGAAUCUUUAGAGGUUCCAAUCAUUUUGACACCUAUCUUUUUAAGAUACAAAAUGAUGACUUGUUAAACAAAAUCUCUUUCUCUGGCCAAUUAUAUUUGUAUAAAAUGAUAUCAUUUUCUAUAUUGUCUGAGCAUACAAUAUAGCUCAGUAUUUGUAUGAUUUAUUUUAUACAGUCAUGUUCGCUGAUCCUUAUCAAGGGUGUCAAUCAUUUUGUAGGUGACUGUAAACUGUCCCAUCUUGUGACGCUACCCAAAACAAACAUAAACAAACACCCACCCCAAAACAAUGACAGGACACAGGAAAUGACAGGGGACAUCAAGCCUCUCUGCACGGUGUCACAGCACAUAUCUGUUCUGUGUUGAUGCACCCUGGUGAUCCCUGCUGGGCUAACGUCUAAAAACAGACCUACUCCGUCCAAACUACUAUGCACCGGACUUGUGGUCAGCUUAAAUGAAAAUAAGACUAUUAUUUGGUUACACUACUGUAUAUUUGGUGUUGGUUUCUGUCAAAUCUGAUGAAUGAUUCUUGAUUCAUUUUUAUUUUUAUUCAUGAGCAAUUCCUAACUUAAGCUCGGUGUCUAAUUCAAAUUCAUCAGCGGUUUGAGUUGACUUGGGAAUCAAUUGGGCCAUUGCAUCCAACUUGGAAUUUAAAAAAUAACAAUACUUUAUGUCUGAAACUAACAGCGAUGCACUAUUUCAAUGGCUAAGUCUGUCUGCUCUCUGUUCUACAACAAUACGGUGUAGCUCUUUCAUGCAGUCAAAAUACCUAGUGGCCUCAUGGGUGGAAUGUUAUUCAUAUUUUUCAUCAUUUCAUAAUUAUUUAUUUGUUUACGCUGUUUUUUUUUAUGUCAAAACAGUUUUGUUAUACUGGUAGUGUUAUACCCAAGAAGGUUUGAGGCUGUAAUCGCUGCCAAAGGUGCUUCAACAAAGUACUGAGUAAAGGGUCUGAAUACUUAUGUAAAUGUGAUAUCAGUUUGUGUGUAGAUUGAUGAGGUGGGAAAAAACAAGUUAAUCCAUUUUAGAAUAAGCAUGUAACGUAACAAAUUGUGGAAAAUAUCAUGUGGUCUAAAUACUUUCCGAAAGCACUGUACACAGUCAUGUAACACUGGUCAUUUUAAUAAUGUUUACAUACCUUUUAACACUUUAUUGGUUACUACAUGAUUCCAUAUGUGUUAUUUCAUAGUUUUGAUGUAUUCACUAUUAUCCUACAAGGUAGAAAAUAGUAAAAAUAAAGAAAAACCCUGGAAUGAGUAGGUGUCCAAACUUUUGACAAGUACUUUAUUUAGUGUAGUACAUAGGAUAGAAUGGUAUAUGUACAGCAAUAGUUAAAUAGGAUAGGCCUUGACUAGAAUACAUUAUAUACAUAUAAAGUGGGUUAAGAAAAUCUAAAUAUAAUUUAUAUUUGAGAUUCUUCAAAGUAGCCACCCUUUGCCUUGAGGACAGCAUUGCACACUAUUGGCAUUCUCUCAGCUUCACCUGGAAAGCUUCUGAUGAAGGUGAUGCUAAGCUACAGGACUGUUUCGCUAGCACAGACUGAAAUGUUCAGGGAUUCAUUGGAUAACAUUGAGGAGUUUACCACAUCAGUCACCGGCUUCAUUAAUAAGUGCAUCAAUGAUGUUGUCCCCACAGUGACCGUACGUACAUAUCCCAACCAGAAGGCAUGGAUUGCAAUAUCCGCACUGAGUUAAAGGGUCGUGUCAUACUGCGGCACACCUUGCGUGCUGCCGCAGCAUUCUGUGGCACGUCAUUUAAUUGUCAGCUAUUUUUUCUGUUACUUCAAGUUAUUACUAGUUUGACCACCAGAGGGCAUCCUUGAGAAGCAUUUGAUAGUAUUCCGUAUUGGCAUUACCAGAGAAUUUAAAACCUUUUUUGUAAUAACAUAGUAUUUGGGAGUGAUUUUAAGAAAUUUGGCUUAAUUCAUUUGAUUAAUAUUAUGGUGUUUCUAUUCAGAGAAAAACUCAACCCUCUGGGUUUCCGUUACGAUGGAAUGGAAAAUAUGGCGCUGUACAACGUGACGUUGGGAGUAGGCUACAGGAUUGGAGGAUUCUAAAUGGUUUGCCUUCAUUAGACAACUUUGUUACAAUAUUUCUGUAAAUCAGUGAUAUUUCUUCCCACAGUAAUUCGUUAUGGAUCCAUAACUAAAUCAACAUCUGCAUUUUGAGUAUUUUUAUCAUUAUUUUAUCAACAAAAUGUUUUUAUUUGUUUUAUUAGGCUACUGUGCAGUCUACAAUACAUACUGUAGUAAAACAGGUGGCGGUGGAGUUCCAGAGCUCACAGGUGUGCCUGCCAUGGAUUGGGACUCCAUCUCGUUCCUCGCCCUUUUCAAUGCGUCAUUCUACACUUGACUCUCCGCCAAUGCCGCCUGACUCUCCGCUAAUGAGUAGUGACUCUUCGCCAAAACCGCCUGGCUCUGGACCAAUGCAUCAGCUGUCGCCCGUAUCUUUGCCCUCAGAGAAUGUUUCUCUUCCUGAUGGUUUGCCUUCAAAUGACUCGAUCUCGGUCUUCAAAGUUUGAAUCUCACCCAUGAGCACCUUCAUCAGAUGAGCAGAAUGGUACCGCCCUGAGCCCUCUUCGAUUACAGUGGCCUACGACGAAAACGGUAGACCAAUUAAGAAUUAAAAGUGACUCCAACACACAAAUGCUGUGUAUACAUUUUAAGAAUUUAGCUUAACUAAUCGCUUUCAUGGCAACCAUCCAUUUUUUUUUUCCGGUGUGGCCCGUUGUCCAGCCCUUUGUCCACUGAACUCCACGUAUGGUUUUCAAGUCCUCUGGUGGUUACAGUCCUAACCCUGGAAUGGGUAGCACCAUAGAAAGAAGCUGGCUUGAUGAAAACGAUGUCCAUUUCGUCUCUUUGGUCGCAAUGUCAUUUCUUUUAGAAUAAUAGCUCGUUUGUGAAUGGUAACUGGUUUAAGGGUUUUGGGCGGGGUGAAGAAAGGAGGAAACAUCACUCUAAUUACAGUCAGAAGACAGUUGAAGAAACUUGCGUGGACUUAUGGAAAGGCAAGGUAAGACAUGUUUUAUAUAUUUAUCUCUUUUUUUUUUAAUGAUCAGAACAUUAACCAUGUGUGUUCGCUUUUUUUGUACUGUUCUGUAGUUUCGACCCAAUGAUUUGUCUGACAAAACAAAGAACUUUGCGUCCUGCAAGCCAGGGCAUGGAUCAAAGCUGGCGAGACAUUCGAUAAUGUCAUCUUCACAGACUAAUCAACCGUGGCCGUUGAGCAAUUUGCUCCAAAUUGCUACUGAAAAAAAAGGAAGAUCAAGGAAGCCGAGUCCCAGGCAUCAGCUCAAACUCAAUGUGUGGGUGGCAAUUUCUCGCCAGGGACCAGGCCCAUAUUUGAUUUUUGAUGGUAUCAUGGGUCGAGAUUUCUUUGUAAUCAACAAGAGAUAUGCUGGACCCUAUGUCAGAGAGGUGUUUCUGGGUACAUAUCGACAAUGACCCAAAACACACUAACCGCCCGGGUUUACAUUGCAAAUGAGGGCAUAAACUGGGUCAAGACGCCAGCGGAGUUUGUAGACCUUUAUGCAGUAAAAUAAAGGUCUCCUGAUUUAAACCAGAUCAAACUUCUUUGGCAUCAACAGAAAACAUUCAUCAGUAACUGCCAAUACGACAAGCACAGGUGAACUGGUCAAGGCCAUCAAGAUGUUUUGGCUAGAGAAAUGAACGAAACAACAAAUGCAUUGAUCAUCUCAGCAAGGUUUUACCUGUGGUCGUGGAGCUGGCUGGAAGUGCGGCUAAAAUGUAGUUCAUAUAAACAUCCGCAUUUGAAUGUCUUUUUUCUCAUUAUUUUAUUAACAAAAGCAUAAAGAUUUGUCACGACGUCCGCCGAAGUCGGUCCCUCUCCUUGUUCGGGCGGCGUUCGACGUCACCGGCCUUCUAGCCACCGCCGAUCCACUUUUCAUUUUCCAUUUGUUCUGUCUUUGUCUUACACACCUGGCUUCACUCAACCAAUGACUUGUUUAUUAUUUAACCCUCUGUUCUCCAUGUUGUGUUUGUGAGUGAUUGUUUAUUGUAAUUCGGUCCGUCUUUGUGGGCUCGUGAUGUUACUUUGUAAAUGUGUCUUUUUGAGUAAAGUACG